rnacentral:rRNA from 1 species
GACGAACGCUGGCGGCGUGCUUAACACAUGCAAGUCGAACGGAAAGGCCCUGCUUUUGUGGGGUGCUCGAGUGGCGAACGGGUGAGUAACACGUGAGUAACCUGCCCGUGACUUUGGGAUAACUUCAGGAAACUGGGGCUAAUACCGGAUAGGAGCUCCUGCUGCAUGGUGGGGGUUGGAAAGUUUCGGCGGUUGGGGAUGGACUCGCGGCUUAUCAGCUUGUAGGUGGGGUAGUGGCUUACCAAGGCUUUGGCGGGGAGCCGGCCUGAGAGGGUGACCGGCCACAUUGGGACUGAGGUAGGGCCCAGACUCCUACGGGAGGCAGCGGUGGGGAAUAUUGCACAAUGGGCGGCAGCCUGAUGCAGCGACGCCGCGUGCGGGAUGACGGCCUUCGGGUUGUAAACCGCUUUCGCCUGUGACGAAGCGUGAGUGACGGUAAUGGAUAAAGAAGCACCGGCUAACUACGUG